rnacentral:rRNA from 1 species
UACGAAGGGGGCUAGCGUUGCUCGGAAUCACUGGGCGUAAAGCGCACGUAGGCGGAUUGCUAAGUCAGGGGUGAAAUCCUGGAGCUCAACUCCAGAACUGCCUUUGAUACUGGCGAUCUCGAGUCCGGGAGAGGUGAGUGGAACUGCGAGUGUAGAGGUGAAAUUCGUAGAUAUUCGCAAGAACACCAGUGGCGAAGGCGGCUCACUGGCCCGAUACUGACGCUGAGGCACGGAAAGCGUGGGGGAGCAAACAGGG